GCGUUCUCAACCUUAAGCCAAUGCACAUUUAUAGAACAAUUCCAUGUGAUCCUGAGGAAGGCGGACUUCAGGCGGAGGGCAGUGCUGAAAAGUUGUAAUCUCGAGAGAGAGGACUCUUCCCUCUUGCUGCUCUUCAUGCUAAGAGGACACUGGGUAAGUCAGUCUAAGAUCGAUGGCUUCGUUCCUUUACACAAUGCGUGGCUUUAGACUAGUUUUGCUACUGAAAUUGGAGGGAUACAUGCAUUUCUUUUUUUUCCUUAUAAAGAGAAAUUAAAGGCACAUCUGUGCUCCUUCCUCCCUUCCCCCCAUUCUCUCCUAAGCCAAAUUAACCACACCUUUUCUUUCUAGUACACUACUGGUUACUUUUAGUAGGAUAUGCCCCAUUAAUGCAGACCCUAGUCUCUUCAUUUGUAAAAUGAGGGGUUGGACUGGAUGAUGGCUGGAAUUUCUUCUGGUCUCUAUGAUGAUUCUGCCUAAGGCAGAUUAUAAUUUCAAGUGUUUGUGAUUCUGUGGAAUAAUUUGAGAGUCCCUAAAGUUCUAAUACACUAAGACUGUGUGAAAAAGUUGUUUUAAAAAUUGUAAUUGUGCUGGCCUUGACAUGUUUGCCUAUGUAUUUCUCUAGCCUCUCUCUAAGUACCUUUUCAGACCUGUUUCUGAGGCUGUGGCUGCCAACUGCAGCUGCUGUGUGAUCUCGACAAGACUGUAUUUCUGGGUCUGACUUACUGUCAGUUAUAAUUGAAUCCUCAGGUCAAAGCUGAAGCUAGGCAGAAUGUUAAGCCUCCUCAGAGAAUGUUACAGUUCAGUUAAACACAGCAGAGCAUACGUGUAUGCAAGCGUGUACGUGUGCACAAUGUUUUCUACUAUCUCCCAUCAAACUGAAGUGCAUGAACUGAAAUUCUUGAGCAUACUUGCACACUUAUUGCACAGGUGUAGACUUCAGGGACAGAACUGAGCUCCUGCUUCACCCAUCAACCGAUUGCUAUUCCAAUGAGUACUUGUUGGCUAUUUGAGGGUUCUCCUGCUCUCAGGCUUAUCUGAUGGUGCCUGUUGCUUCUCUGGUCUUCCUCUUGCACUCACACAUUCAUGAGACAACCUCUUACCUAGUUUUGUUGUAAAUGCCAGCCUCAGGGUCCUGGGAUUUCAUCAGACAGUUCCUGUCUGUUUACCUGAGGGAGCUUGGGAAGUUCUAAAACACUCUGCUGCCACCAUCUCUUCAGAAUUCCACCUGCCGGGCUCUGUGCUGCGUGCUCAAUUCUUUAGUAGCUCCAAGGGCUAGGUGGAUAUUUGGCCUGAACAAAGGGAAUGAUGAGAAAGGAAACAAUGAGAGAGAUUUAGGGAAAGAAGAAUCCAGAGGGCUUGGUGAGUGAUUGUACACAGAGGGACAGAGGAAUUAAGCAAAGAGGAAAAUACAAAAUAACCAUUUAUUAUUUCAUUCAGCAAAUACUAAGUGACCCCACGGACUUAAUGUCCAGACCCAGGACAGAGGGUAUAGGCUGUGUUCCAUGUUGACAUCAUGCCUGCCCUCAUGGAGCUCCUGGUGAAAUGAGGGGGCAGAUACCAAGCAGGGAAUCCCCAGGAGGUGCAGAAUUACCAAGAAGGGCCCAGGACACAUGUCAGAAAGAAUAAGAUCCUCUAAGUGGAAAUGGGAAAGACAAGAGAGGGGUUAACUAGGGCGAAAAACUGGCGAGUUUAUGUUUCAAGAGGUUGGACUGAUGGUGAGUCACCAAAGCAGAGAUAUCCAGCGGACAUGAAAAUGCACUUGGAGUAGUGGGAAGUCUAUGACAGCUAUGGUCUCUCCAAGGAGAAGACCUGGUUAGAAGAUCAAUUGCCAAGUUUCAUGAAACAGCUUUCUUAAGAGGGCAGGAGGGGCAACUGGAGCAUGAGAACAACCAGAACUUGGCAGCACCUUGUCUGGAAAGUCCUGAAUGGAUAAGAUUUGAGGACCAAUGUGGGGUGACAUGGGCAGAUGCUGCAGAGAGGGCAGAGAGAGGAUGAGAACUGAGACAAAGCCAGAGUCUGGGGGUCAGGGGCAACUGUGGUUUCAGUCAGCAAUGUUUAAUUACAAGAAACAGAAACGUAUUCAAAAAAGCAACUCAUUUGUUGAGCAACUCUUUCACUGGCUUCCCAGCAACCGCUGCUUCAUUCUGAUCUGAGUAUGGACCAGUCUGCUCUGCUGGGCUCCUCCUCCUGCCCCUCCCUGAGUUUAGAAUGCACAGGCACAGGUUUCUCUGCUACUCAUUCCUCAUUGCCUUCUGAUUAAGGGUCUUCCUUUAUGACUUUAAGUGUCCCUAUCAAAUAACAGGAGAGAAAAUCUGUUAGGCCAGUUUUGCGCAGAAUCUGGCCCUUGUCCAAUCAAUAGUGUCCAGAGGAGGAUUUGUGUGAUGAGCCAAGCCCACUGAGUCAGUAGAGGGAUGAGAAAGGGAGUAAAGGGAUGGGAGGGUGAGGAAUGAAUGGUUUUUCAGAGUAAAGCACAAAAACAAACUUGCAAUUUUUUUUUUCUUGGUACUGGGGAUUGAACUCGGGAACCACUGAGCAAAAUCUCUGGCCCACAAACUUUCAAAAUUUGGAGCUAAGUAUGUGGUUUCAUUGUAACAGAGAACUGAAAGCUGGGCAGUGGUGGGUGCUCCUAACUGAAUGCAAGGGUGUGUAUUUCUAUGGCCAGGGGCAUCCUGGGUAGGGAACACACAACACCUAGUGCCGAAUAGGGAAAGGAGACAGUUGGAGAACGUGGAAUCACCGAGACCAUGAAGUAUUGGCCAGCAAGAAACCAAACUCGCUCUGAUGCUGAUCCACAAGGAGGCCAUCUCCCAGCCUUCGGAACAUGUGCACUUCUGCUCUGAUGAACCCGAAGUAGAUCACUGAGCUCCUCCUCCACAUCUAGCAUUUCUCAGACACCUCCAAGAAGCUAGUGGCCUCUGAAAACAUUCUGACGGACACUGGGCACCCUGAGUCACCAUGGGCAAUGAGAACAGCACCUUGGACCACCAGAGGACUUCAUCAGCUCAGAGUCCAAGAUCCAUGCAGCCACCUGGGGAAAAGAAGCACGGAGAUUCUCCCAGAAGCCCUGACGGUGGGGACUUGUCCAGCAGCACUCCAGACUGUUUAACUUCAUAGUCAACUGAAAAUGGGAAAGAUCAAGGCUUCCAAGGGGCUUAAUCUGAGGCCAAGUGGGGUGUGUGUUCCAGAGAGCAGGCUAUGUUGGCACUGGACCGUGAAACAGAGGAUUCAGACAGCAGUUCCUCAAGCCAAGGAGCCUGGUGGAUUAAUUCCAGAAGUCAACAAGACCACACGGUGGCAAUGGAACAUGGCCAGCACAGAUGUGGCUCAUUCAUCAGUGGUUCCUCAUUAUGGUCCACAGCCAGGCCCUGGUUUCCUGCCAUGGCUCCCUGCAGGAACUCUCUCCGCAGUAUCCUACACCCAUAGUUUUGGGGGUACUCACGAGCAGAGGGCCAGUGGACUUACGUGAUCAGUUCCCAGCAUGGACAUAGGCCAGGCACAUUGGAGCCAACUAGUAACUACUUGUGGGUUCAACUCAUGAGUAGGUCUUGGAUCUGGUUACCAUAACCCUUUUGAACAAUAAAAUCCAGCUUCCCAGAGCCUAUAAUUACAGGCAUUAAGGGAACAAACUAGAGCUCUAUGCAACAAAACUUAAAUGAUAAGCCCCUUGUCAUAGUGAAGCUUUGGGUCACUCACAGCAGGCUUCAUAAUAGCUUUUCAAAACCUUCAGACUCAAAGUGACUUUUUUUUUUUUUUUUUUUUUUUUGCUUUCGGGAACAUAAGAGCGACCUCUGGUGGCAGAAAUUCCCAUGCCAGGGGUUAUCACUUUUGGGUGUCUUAGGUUAUGUGGUUUCUGGAGGAAAUACUUGGAACCUCUUGGCAUGAACAUUAGGUAAAUAGUAAUCAGAUGGGACAGGGUGUUCUGUUUUGUUGAGUGAGUCACAGAAUGAUGCCUUGAACAUCACCUUUGACCCCUGUCCUAUGCUAGCAGUAGGACCCCCUUCCCUUCCCACAUCUCUUCAGCUGUUCCUGUCCUUAAACCCUUUACCAUGGUAACAGAACAAAGGUUUUUGUAUUUAGUUUUAACCAGACCUCUAAGUUGGUUCUGAUGAUCAUAAAACUAACAGAUGAGUUUAUGAUCUCUGGAAUCCCUUGCAAGGGAAACUACUGCUGGCUCAGACCCAAGGUCUUGCUCUUCCCUCUCCAUCUUCGUGGGGUCCUGGGACCUCUUAGGAGACUCAGGGAAUUGUUCAGGGCCUGCAUCACAACUGGACUAAAGAACAACAGCAGCUCAAAGGUCUUUUGUUGCUUGUUCCUCAGCUUUAGUCAAUUAUUAUUUUCCUUUGAAGAAGAAUCACCUCUCAUUGGCAUGCAAAUUGAGAAUAAAAGAAGUGCCUUCCAAGAACAAGCCUAAAGAAGCAACUUCCUGUUCACAAUUGAAAACAGGAUUGUCCUCAAUAAAUGUGUACAUGUCCACAGUGCAAGGCCCUGUGCCUAGUAACUCAGACACUAUUGAGAACAGGCGGCCUCCCUCCUCUCCAGGGAUUUGCGCUGAGUCUGUCCUGAAGUUGAGAUGUUUGUAGGAGAGAUGGGGCACAGCUCCUGAGUCAUGCCAGCCUUAGCAUUAACCAAAGAUAACAAUAGCAUUUAAUGUUCAUUCUGCAUCUGGGUGCCAGACAUCAUGACAAAUGUUAUAUGUGUACAAAGUAAAAUUUUGUCUUCUUUGAAGCGAUUCAAUUAUGCUUUGAGUCCUUACUCUGCCAGGCUGUUGGGGAUGCCCAUGGCAGCUGUCCUUGGGUCUCCCCUCUAUUAAACCCUGAUAUACUGAGGCUGUCAUCUGGCUCCUCUUCAUCCCGAGGGCCACCACCAAGAUGCCUGUAGGUCCAGCCAAACUGUCUGUCCAUCAGUCCCUGGGACUGACCUGCUUUCCUGCCAUCGUUGGCACAUGGAAAUCUUGGCUGAUCCUGGGAGUCCCUGCCCUUCCUGUUGGGGCUUUUCCUUCCCUGAUCAUUCCCCUCUCACACUGCCAGGAAGGCAGGGUGAGGUGCUCAGAUAGCCCCAUUGCUCAGGGUCCUUUCUCUAUUCUCCCACCCUCAAAUGCUUUUGUCUUCUCUGGUGGCUUCAUUGGACAACCAGCCUUUAGUCUCCAAAGGACACAGGAUUUUACAAAUGGUGGGAAAAGCCACUGACUCAAAUUGUUGCUAGUCAUAAAAACACCAGAGAGAGAAAAUGCAGAAGAGCCUACAGCGGCUAUCAGCUCACUGGGGGGGCACCGGAAGAAUCGGUCAGCCUUCCAUAUUCUUGGUUCCUGUAUCUGUGGAUUUA
ensembl:lncRNA